GCAGCUGGAGUCUAUUAAACGGGGCAGGAUCUGUGUCAAAAGAGCUUCUCUCCAGAGUAGAAAGGAUCAGUGCGAAGAAAAUCAUUGGCUCAGAUUGCAACAGGCUGAAGAAAGCAUAAGAUAUUCUCGUCAGCAUCACAGUAUUCAGAUGAAAAGAGACAAGAUAAAAAGGAGCAAAAGAAAAAAGAAUGGAUCAACCAAGAACGUCAAACACUCCAACAAUUGAGAGCAUUUAAAGAUAGAAAUAAUGAGAGAGAUUGUCUGUCUUGAAGUUCUCAGUGCCUGUGCAUUGCUGCCACUACACAGCUAGUAUCAUGACAGCAGCUUCAGAACCAGAGCAGCCACAGACUUCUUGGCCUCUCAAAUGCCCGGAUGCCUGAAACUUCUGAAGAGAUACCGCCUUCAACUUCUUCUCAGUCACAGCACGGUGUGAACACAUAGCUCCAAUGAUGCCUCUGCUUGCUUCAGCC
rnacentral:lncRNA from 10 species